rnacentral:rRNA from 1 species
AGAGUUUGAUUCUGGCUCAGGAUGAACGCUGGCGGCAUGCUUAACACAUGUAAGUUGAACGCAGGCACUCUUUAAUCUAAUUAAAGAGUGAAGCUGAGUAGCGGACGGGUGCGUAACGCGUGAAAGAUCUGCCUUUAGGACAAGGAUAACUUCUGGAAACGGGAGCUAAUACUUGAUAUGCUGAGAAGUUAAAAGAGAUAAUCUGCCUAAAGAUGAGUUCGCGUCUGAUUAGCUAGUUGGUAAGAUAAAAGCUUACCAAGGUGACCAUCGGUAGUUGGUUUGAGAGGAUGACCAGCCACAUUGGGACUGAGAUACGGCCCAAACUCCUACGGGAGGCAACAGUGGGGAAUUUUUUGCAAUGGGCGAAAGCCUGACAGAGCAAUGCCGCGUGAAGGAUAUUAAGGUCUGCGGAUCGUAAACUUCUUUUCCCAAGGAAGAUAAUGACGGUACUUGGGGAAUAAGCAUUAGCUAAAUAUGUGCCAGCAGCUGCGGUAAUACAUGUAAUGCAAGCGUUAUCCGGAAUGAUUGGGCGUAAAACGUCUGUAGGUGGUUUUGAAAGUCUAUUGUUAAAUCAUGAGGCUUAACCUCAUAAAGGCAAUGGAAACUUCUUAACUAGCGUGGGGUAGGGGCAGAGGGAAUUACUGGAGGAACGGUGAAAUGUGCAGAUACUAGUAAGAACACCGAUAGCGAAAGCACUCUGCUGGGCCCAUACCGACACUCAGAGACGAAAGCUAGGGGAGCCAAUGGGAUUAGAUACCCCAGUCGUCCUAGCCGUAAACGAUGGCGAUUAAGUAUUGGUAUAUCAAUCAGUGCUGUAGUUAACGCGUUAAAUCGCCUGCCUGGGAACUAUGCUCGCAAGAGUAAAACUCAAAGAAAUUGACGGGGGCUCGUACCAACAGUGGAUGAUGUGGUUUAAUUCGAUUCAACGCGAAGAACCUUACCGGGGAUUGACAUACUACUUAUCUAAUCUGGAAACAGUAAAAUCUAGUGUAGAAUACAGGUGGUGCAUGGCUGUCGUCAGCUCGUGUCGUGAGACGUAUGGUUAAGUCCUAUAACGAGCGCAACCCUUGUGACUAGUUACUUUAUGCCAAGUAACCAAAUCAGAAAGAUUGUUGAAUUAUACUUGUUUAUUAAGUAGGCGGCGCAGAUGUGUUUAGCUUAUUUAAACUAAAUAAAUAUAAUUUUAGCAGGACGCUUGAUUUGUUGGUUGUAAAAAAUAGUCAGACUGCCAGUGAUAAACUGGAGGAAGGUGAGGAUGACGUCAAGUCAGCAUGCCCCUUAUAUCCCGGGCUACACACGUCAUACAAUGGUUAAGACAAAGGGG